UACGUAGGGACCAAGCGUUGUUCGGAUUUACUGGGCGUAAAGGGCGCGUAGGCGGCUUGUCAAGUCACUUGUGAAAUCUCCGGGCUUAACUCGGAACGGUCAAGUGAUACUGUCGUGCUAGAGUGCAGAAGGGGCAAUCGGAAUUCUUGGUGUAGCGGUGAAAUGCGUAGAUAUCAAGAGGAACACCUGAGGUGAAGACGGGUUGCUGGGCUGACACGUGACGCUGAGGCGCGAAAGCUAGGGGAGCAAACGGG
rnacentral:rRNA from 1 species